UACGUCUUCUAGUUUGAUCCUGGCUCAGUGCGGCUGGAUAGCUUGCUCUUAUGAAGAUCGCGGCGGACGGGUGAGUAACACGUGGGUAACCUGCCCAUAAGACUGGGAUAACUCCGGGAAACCGGGGCUAAUACCGGAUAACAUUUUGAACCGCAUGGUUCGAAAUUGAAAGGCGGCUUCGGCUGUCACUUAUGGAUGGACCCGCGUCGCAUUAGCUAGUUGGUGAGGUAACGGCUCACCAAGGCAACGAUGCGUAGCCGACCUGAGAGGGUGAUCGGCCACACUGGGACUGAGACACGGCCCAGACUCCUACGGGAGGCAGCAGUAGGGAAUCUUCCGCAAUGGACGAAAGUCUGACGGAGCAACGCCGCGUGAGUGAUGAAGGCUUUCGGGUCGUAAAACUCUGUUGUUAGGGAAGAACAAGUGCUAGUUGAAUAAGCUGGCACCUUGACGGUACCUAACCAGAAAGCCACGGCUAACUACGUGCCAGCAGCCGCGGUAAUACGUAGGUGGCAAGCGUUAUCCGGAAUUAUUGGGCGUAAAGCGCGCGCAGGUGG
rnacentral:rRNA from 1 species